rnacentral:rRNA from 1 species
UACAGAGGGGGCAAGCGUUAUUCGGAAUUAUUGGGCGUAAAGGGCGCGUAGGCGGCCAUUCAAGUGACGGGUGAAAGCCCUCGGCCUAACCGAGGAACUGCCUGUCAGACUGGAUGGCUUGAGACCGGGAGAGGUGAGUGGAAUUCCCAGUGUAGCGGUGAAAUGCGCAGAUAUCAGGAGGAACACCAAUGGCGAAGGCAGCUCGCUGGGACGGUACUGACGCUGAGACGCGAAAGCGUGGGGAGCAAACAGG